rnacentral:rRNA from 1 species
CCUACGGGAGGCAGCAGUGGCGAAUUUUGGACAAUGGGGGCAACCGUGAUCCAGCCACACCCAGUGUGUGAAGAAGGCCUUCGGGUUGUAAAGCACUUUCGGACGGAAUGAAAUCGUCCACGUUAAUAGCGGGGAGGGAUGACGGUACCGUAAGAAGAAGCCCCGGCUAACUACGUG